rnacentral:lncRNA from 1 species
GCGGGGUGUGUAACAGUAUUACAUAGGUGACUCAUACUGAGUUUUCUACCAGCUAAAACUCCGAAGUCUUUCUUCAUGACUGCUGCCGCCCCCCAGGCCUGCCCCGCACAUACACUGGUGCGGCUGGGUUUGAGCGUCAUAUAUAGGAACUCACGUUGUGAUAUCUUUUUUCCACUUGGCACACCAGAUGUUUCAGCAUCUGAUUUGUGUUAUACAUGUUUUCCUUCUUAAUUCUUUUUUUGUUUUUUGAAAUUCCAUUUUAGAUUUGCUAAAACAAAAUGAAAGAUGAUGCCAUUUUGCAUCAAUUUGGCAAAUUUAAAAAAAAAUCAGUAUUUCAAUUUCUGGAAGAAAGCAUGCGGGAUGAGGAUGGUGCAGUGGCAACAUUUUGAAAUCUGGGUUCUAAUUAAAGCCCCACCACUUACUAACUGUGAGAACUGCAGCAUCUUAACUUCUCUAAGCCUCAGUAUCUUCAUCUGGAAAACAGAUGCUAAUACUUACCUUGGUGGCUGAUUCAGUAAAUGGAGGCCAUCACAGGAGUGCCUUUACCAUGAGAAGGUCUUAGAAUGCUGGUCUCUACUGUGAAUUAGGUGCGAACUACAGGAUGCCUGUUUGCAUUCUCUGAUUUUUGUGUAGCCCUGAGAAAAUAUUUCAAGAAUAUGUUUAGCCCAUGUGCAUUACCUACUCCCUGGUUGCUGUCCUCAAACCCUAUUUUCACUCAAAAUCUCCUUGCCAUCACACACUUAGUGGUUUGCUGGAAGCAUGGGCUGUGGAGUAUAUCUUGGAUGGGGAGCCAUGAGCCCUGGUUCCAGUGCUGGCUCAGACUCCCAAGGCCACAGAGCCUUAUCCAAAAUAAGAUGAUUAAACUAGAUGACCCCUAGUUUAAUCUCUAGGUCCUUUCCAUCUUCUAUAAAUGUCUACUCACUGAGCCUCUAAGGCUAUGCUUCUCUAUUAAAACUCUUUUGAGCUACUCUUAGACUUGCCCAGGGUUAACAAGUAGUUAGAUGUCACUUUAAAAUGGGCUAGCCUAACACCUUCCUGUACAGCAUGAAUCUCUUCUCUGAGUGCUCAUAUUCUUUUUGUUUCCAAAACAAAACUCUGAAAAUGCAGAGUUGAUCCCAGUCUUGAAAGCUGGUGCCUUUUUUCUUGGUCUGUUUCUGGAAGAAGCACUUGAAAGACGGAUGAAAGGCCCAUAGAUGCUGUUGCACCUGGCCCUGGUCUGGAGCUGCCAGAUCACAGCACCACAACAUUUUCUUUUUUUUUUGGUGUUCAAAUAUAAUUUAUUCCUCAUCUGUCCCCCUAUACGACGUGAGCCCUGCAAGGGAGGGGAUGAAGCUGUCCAGUGCACGGAGAAGCGUCUGCAAACACGAUGACAAAACAUGCCCCUCUUCUCAUGUUAAGGCAUUUGUGGCAUCUGGAUCGUCUGUUUGCUGUUCACUUCUCCCUCCUGCGGCCACCCCACCAUGGGGGAUGCCGGAAACUCCCUCAGCACUUUCAACAGGCACCCAGUCUGGGAGCAGGAUGGAAAAUAUGUGCCCAAGGACAUUAUGGAGAAGGGACACCUACAUAGUUGGAUAAUGCUAGACAUCCGAGGCCACAAAUACUGUUGUCCUCUCUCUUCUGAGAACCUGAGAUCUAAGAAGGUCCAGGCUUAGAGUGCUACAGAAAUAGGGAUUUAUGAUACAAAAAGGGAAGAAUUUCCUAACUACCACCAUGGCUAUCAGGCACUGACAUGACUUACUUGUUAACGAGGUUGUAUGGAGUGAUUAAUAUGGCACAGAUGGGAGUCUUGCUGAGUGUUUUUCAUGUCCCUUCAUAGAGGCAGGGGCUGCGUGAAAGCACGAGAUGACAGGUGGGGUCUUGUAGCUUUGGGACUUGAUGGCUUCUCUCGAGGCCUCGUGAUAUGGUUGCAGUAUAUCGUCUUCCUUCUCUUCCUGCUUGCGCCCUCAUCCUAUUUUCUCCCUUCACUUCAUCCCGGUAUUCUUGGACCCUGCCUCCCUCCCACUAAGAUUCUGGUUCUAACUGAAGUAAAAAACUAGACCAACGUCACUUAUCUCAUUGUAUCUAUCACAGGCGGAUUUUUCAUAGUCCUUCUUGGAGAGAAAAGAGGACUGGGCUGAAAUGUUUCAGAGUUGGGAUACGUGUGAGAAUGUGGCAGAAAUGUUAGUGCGAUAGUUACAGUUUAGGCUUCAAGAGACCUCAAGCACUUCAACUCUCUUUCGGAGCACUGCCUCCACCAGAACAAUGCCAAGCUAGCUGCGGGAAGAUGAGAGACCACGUGGAGUAGAGAUGAAUUAUUCCAGCUGCGAUCAUCCUAGAGCAGCCAGCUGACCUGCCAGCCAACAGCAGAUGACAAAGCCUGGACACAAUGAAACAAGACCAGAACCGCCC